UCAGGAUGAACGCUAGCGGCAGGCUUAACACAUGCAAGUCGAGGGGCAGCGGGAUGUAGCAAUACAUUGCCGGCGACCGGCGGAUGGGUGCGUAACGCGUAUGCAACCUACCUUAUACAGGGGAAUAACCUUUCGAAAGGGAGACUAACACCCCAUAGUAUUGAUUUAAGGCAUCUUAGAUUAAUUAAAUAUUUAUAGGUAUAAGAUGGGCAUGCGUAUGAUUAGCUAGUUGGUAAGGUAACGGCUUACCAAGGCGACGAUCAUUAGGGGUUCUGAGAGGAAGGUCCCCCACACUGGUACUGAGACACGGACCAGACUCCUACGGGAGGCAGCAGUGAGGAAUAUUGGUCAAUGGGCGCAAGCCUGAACCAGCCAUGCCGCGUGCAAGGAAGACGGCCUUAUGGGUUGUAAACUGCUUUUACAUAAGACUAACCGUAUAUUUGCGAAUAUACCUGAAUGUAUUAUGAGAAUAAGGAUCGGCUAACUCCGUGCCAGCCGCCGC
rnacentral:rRNA from 1 species